rnacentral:lncRNA from 1 species
GGAUCUAAUGUUAAAGCAUACGUACCCUUUUGCAGACGAGUCACCUAUUAAGAGUCGAACAUCCUCAAAACCUUUUCCAGACGGUAAGCCGUAAAGUGUCACAGCAACAAGGGAAGUCAGCCUUCUGUAAUUAAGACUUCAAUAAAAGACAGAAAGAUAUGAUUGAUAUAUUAAAUUAGACAUUAUAAAUUAUACCACCCUUUCCUAAAUCUUUAAAAAAUAUAUGUUUGAUUGAAUGAAGACUUCGCUUUAAAGACUAUUCUUCACUCAUUAAAACUGAAUGUUUUCUAGCUUUGAGU